rnacentral:rRNA from 1 species
UACAGAGGUGGCAAGCGUUGUUCGGAAUUACUGGGCGUAAAGCGCGUGUAGGCGGCUCUUCAAGUCAGGCGUGAAAGCCCCGGGCUCAACUCGGGAACUGCGCUUGAUACUGUCGAGCUAGAGUGUGGAAGGGGCGAUUGGAAUUCCGUGUGUAGCGGUGAAAUGCGUAGAUAUACGGAGGAACACCAGAGGCGAAGGCGGAUCGCUGGGCCAACACUGACGCUGAGACGCGAAAGCGUGGGGAGCAAACAGG